AUGAAGUUAUUUUUUUGGUAAGUUGGUCAAUUGGCCAAUAGAAUGCUGACACACAUACAGUCUCGUCUGCGUGUUAAUAUUCUAUUAGCCAAUUGACUAACUUACUCCAAAAUAAACUUUAU
rnacentral:pre_miRNA from 1 species